rnacentral:rRNA from 1 species
AUUGAACGCUGGCGGCAGGCUUAACACAUGCAAGUCGAGCGAGAGGCGGACGGGUGAGUAAUGUCUGGGAAACUGCCUGAUGGAGGGGGAUAACUACUGGAAACGGUAGCUAAUACCGCAUACCAUCAGAUGUGCCCAGAUGGGAUUAGAUAGGAGGUGGGGUAAUGGUUCACCAAGGCGACGAUCCCUAGCUGGUCUGAGAGGAUGACCAGCCACACUGGAACUGAGACACGGUCCAGACUCCUACGGUAGGCAGCAGUGGGGAAUAUUGCACAAUGGGCGCAAGCCUGAUGCAGCCAUGCCGCGUGUAUGAAGAAGGCCUUCGGGUUGUAAAGCACUUUCAGCUGGGAGGCGUUACUCGCAGAAGAAGCACCGGCUAACUCCGUGCCAGCAGCCGCGGUAAUUC